GGGUCAGUAGGUUGGUCGUGCCACCGGUACGUACUGGUCUCACUGAUUCCUCCUUCCUGAAGAACCGUAAUGCCAUUAAUUUGGUGUUGCGGGGAAACAGGACUGUUACUUUGAAAAAAUUAGAGUGUUUAAAGCAAGCUAACGCUUUAAUAAAUUAGCAUGGAAUAAUGAAAUAGGACGAUCGAUCCUAUUUUGUUAGUUUCUAGGAUUGACGUA
rnacentral:rRNA from 1 species